rnacentral:rRNA from 1 species
UACGGAAGGGGCAAGCGUUGUUCGGAAUCAUUGGGCGUAAAGGGCGCGUAGGUGGUUCUGUGUGUCUACCGUGAAAGCGUACGGCUCAACCGUAUUUCGUCGGUAGAAACUGCAGGACUUGAGGCUGGGAGGGGCUGGUGGAAUUCCCUGUGUAGCGGUGAAAUGCGUAGAGAUGGGGGGAGAACACUCGUGGCGAAGGCGGCCAGCUAGACCAGUUCUGACACUGAGGCGCGAUAGCGUGGGGAGCAAACAGG